UUUCCAGGAAAGCCAGGAAUUCACCAAAAGUAAAAAUACUUUCUGAUAAUCUGGAUCCCAUUCUUCAUUUACCCAUGUACCAAGAUAUUUGUGCAUUGAAACUCUUUCGAGUGUUGUACAUGUGAGAGUUCUUAUUGAGGUUUGUUGCGGUUUUCUUGAUACUGUACAUAAACUUAGUCUUUGAGAGAUUCAUGCUUAGACCCGACUUUCUGCUACAUUUAUAAACGCUAUCUAUUAUUUUCUAAAGAUCUUGGGAA